rnacentral:rRNA from 1 species
UACGAAGGGGGCUAGCGUUACUCGGAAUUACUGGGCGUAAAGGGCGCGUAGGCGGCGCUCCAAGUUAGGCGUGAAAGUCCUGGGCUCAACCUGGGAACUGCGCUUAAGACUGGAGUGCUUGAGGAUGGAAGAGGGUCGUGGAAUUCCCAGUGUAGAGGUGAAAUUCGUAGAUAUCGGGAGGAACACCAGUGGCGAAGGCGGCGACCUGGGCCAAUAUUGACGCUGAGGUGCGAAAGCGUGGGGAGCAAACAGG